GCCAGGUACUUUGGUGAGCACCUGUAAUCCCAGCUACUCUGAAGGCUGAGAUGAAAGGAACACUUGAACUCAGGAGACCAGCCUGGGCAAAAUAGUGAGACCCCAUGUCAG
rnacentral:sRNA from 1 species